CUGAAGUAUAAAAACCUUUGUCUAUGGUGAAUGUAGCCAUAUGGAGUUGUAUUUAUAAAGCUGGUCUAUCUGCCUCUGAUUAUCAUGACGACUGACAAACAAGAAUAUCAGAUGCACAGGAACAGAUCCCUACAGGAUACGGGUAAUGGAAAGCU